rnacentral:pre_miRNA from 14 species
UUUAUAUAGACCUAGAGGGUCUCUGGAUGUUGAAAGACCUCUGGAGUGGGGAGACCUUCACUCAAGUCUCGGGAUGAUGUGAACCCCCAAGAACUCACAAAAACCA